UUUUUUAUGUUUUUAAUUUACUCAAAGCGGCCGAUUUGUUGGAAAUGUAUGUAUUUAUAUAUUUUAUAAACGUAUGAAAAAUUAGAUUCGUUGAUGGAUUUUAUACCGGUUGUUUGGCGUUUUGGGGAUCACAGCCUUGACAAACAUUCCCAUUGUAUAAUAAGUUAACUAGUGAGAAUCAGAAAUACCAAAAAUCACUACUAAAAUGGAUGAUUAUAACGGGACCAUGAUCAAAAUACAAGAAGUCGAGGACGUAAAACAGUAUUUCAACAAAGUCUUAGUGAAAAAAUCAAAGCUGAAUCACAUUGAAAAAAAACUCAACAGUUCUCGGACAAACUAUAACGAUUAUCAAAAAACAAUUGACGGGGUCAGUAGAACAAGUAACGAAAGAAAUAAAAAAAAUUGAUGUUUGAAAUCAUUUUUAACCAAAGCCAACCUCACAUCACAAGAACGUGUACACUCUGGCGAGAAGCAUUACAAAUGUGCGGUUUGCUCAAAAGUCGACUUUUGUAUAUCAUGAUCAAGUACACACUGG